UACGGACGGGGCAAGCGUUGUUCGGAAUCAUUGGGCGUAAAGGGCGCGUAGGUGGUUCUGUAUGUCUACCGUGAAAGCGUACGGCUCAACCGUAUUUUGUCGGUGGAAACUGCAGGACUUGAGGCUGGGAGGGGCUGGUGGAAUUCCCUGUGUAGCGGUGAAAUGCGUAGAGAUGGGGGAGAACACUCGUGGCGAGGGCGGCCAGCUAGACCAGUUCUGACACUGAGGCGCGACAGCGUGGGGAGCAAACAGG
rnacentral:rRNA from 1 species